CCAACCUUACCCUUCCCAACUACAGCGCCCCCUACUGGACCACUCCAACCUUACCCUUCCCCAACUAGACUGCCCCCUACUGGACCACACCAACCUUACCCUUCCCCAACUAGACUGCCCCCUGCUGGACAACUCCAACCUUACCCUUCCCCAACUACACCGCCCCCUACUGGACAGCAUCAAUACCAAUCCAACCCCAACUCUUGAUCACCCCCUGCUAGAAGAAUUAUCCCAGUUACUAAAAAAGUUAAGAAGACAAACCUCCCCGCACCCGGCCUUCAGUGCACGGGCGUCCACAACCCCGACCACCCCCAUUUGUCGACCUACACCAUUAAGGCAGUACAGAGAGACACACUAACACACAGUACAGAGAAAGGAAAUAGAGAGUGUGUUCAACUGAAAGCGUGUGGUGGCCAUACGCCAUAAAAUACCACAUAUCCAAGGAAUACAGGUAGAGCUCUGUUGAGUUUUCAGGCUUUGAUAAAUUUGUAGUUCCCCGUCUGCCAUGUUUGAAGUUCUUUGUAGUCUCUGUCCAUAGGUUUCACCUGAACAACCCCUCUGCUGGCCGAGAAAAGGAACUACCACUGGUUUCUCCCACACCCAGCCCCCGGAGCACGCUCGCUUCAAGGCGUUAUGGCCGCACCCAAAGUGGGAGGGAGACACGCAGGGAGAGAGAGCGUGUUCUCCUGAAGGAGGGAGAGGGUCACAGGGAGACACGCAGUGGAUAUUCACAUUAUGGCUAAUUUGUUUUUCUUUAAGUUUAGUUUUUAUUUUGUUUUUUGUCUUCCUAGGACCACAGUAAUGAUAAUCUAAUGCAAUUGGACUAAAGAAGUUUCCCUGAGGUGUAUCUUUUACGCACACACACGCUGCAUAGGGCAGAAGCGGCUGAAGACUCUGUCUCCAUCCCUCCACCUUGCGAUCUAUACCACCAUAUAGGUGGGGAUUGAUCGUAUCCCAGGUACGGCAUCCUGCAGCGAGCCAGUAUGGAAGGCUGGUUAGCCAACGACGGGUAAGAUCCCACCUUGACACCCGGGACGACCUAAGGCAGGCACAGUCACGAU
ensembl:lncRNA